CGCUCUGAGCUAGCCUGUUGUGGUCCAAAGCCAGCUCAGCCUGCACUGGGGCCCUGAGACCUGGUCGUUGUCAUGUUGCAAACUGAAAGCUGAUGAGGACUGGUGUCUGCCCUAGGUCACACGUUGGGUUGCAGACCACAUGGCCUUGCAUUGUUUUAACUGCGAUUGUGAAUUCUGGCUGGCCAAACGGAGGCAUCACCGCAGGAACUGUAGGAAUGUGUUUUGUGCUGGUUGCUGCCAUCUGAAGUUACCCAUCCCUGAUCAGCAGUUGUACAACCCCGUCCUCGUUUGUAACUCCUGUGAUGACCACAUCCAAGUGUCUCGUGCCAGGGAGCUCAUGAGCCAACAUCUGAAGAAACCCAUCACCACAGCUUCCAGCUGAAUGCCAGACAAGGGACCUGUCUAAGCCCAGCCUUUUCUCUCAUGGGUUUGAAGGGUGACUCUGCCUCCACUGUAAUUGUGAAGGCUUUUGGUGCAACACUUGAACACCAAGCUUGAAUGCACUGUCUUCAGCAGUCUUACGAUCAGUCUGGAGCAGAGGAGCUGAGAUUAGAGGGUAUGGUGUGUGUCCCCACUCUGGUACUGGUGGGCCCACACAUUGUAGUCUUGAUGAUCUAGAGCUAAAGAGAGGAUUGCAACCUCUCUCUUUUGUGGGCUGGAAAGCAGUGUUUUCACAGCUACUGCCUGUGCAAAGUACCCCCAAAGCAAUAGCAAUAGAAAGGCAUGUUUAGAACCAACUCCCCCUACAAAGGCAGGCUGCUGUACGAGAAGGAAGAGGGCAGGCUCCAGGUGGUACCACGUGCUUUGGAAGGGCCUCAGCCUGUGUCUCUCAGUUCUGUAGAUUCUUUUUCCAUGAGUGUGAUUUGCGAUCAGCCUGGUGAACAAGACUCAUUAGCCAUCACUAAUUGAUUUUCUCUUGUGUGUUGAAGAGAAAUUAAUUCCAGCUGAAAAUGGGCCAAGCAGAUUUUGCCCGUUUUCACGUUCUGCUGGGAUUGGUGAACGCACUUGACUUUGCCCCUGACCCCACUGCUGCAGGGAGAUGGGAGACUGGCUUUUUCACUUCUGCUCUGCCCGUCUGCUUUGUCUGCGGUCAUAUCACAGCCUGGUGCUAACACAGGAAUGGCACCCUGAUCCUCUCCUGGCAUGGAAACAGAACUUGUGUUCCUGUGUUGCUCCUCCUCCCCUUUUCUGCCCUCAGCUCUCCACUUCCUACUGCUCUUUAUCCUGAAAACUUGAUACCUUGAGGGUAUAGGCCAUAAGGUGUUGUUUUACCUCCUGGAAUGUACUGUCUGGUGUAUGCAAGGGCUUCAGUCCAAAUGCUGCUAUAUAUUUCUGUGCACUUAAUGUAACCCAAAGAAGGAGAAUGAAGCAUCGAUACCAAAAUGGGGGUGGGGAAGGACACUGGCUGACAUAGACACUAUGGUCUUUGCUUUUCACUUCAGCAUGUACAGCCAAGCUACAGUGAUAAACACAACGUGUGGCAUCUGUUCAUGGUGAAAACAAUCUCUCUGACUUGCCCCAGCGCUACCUAAAAUGCCUCUUGAAUUUGACUUGUCUUUUUGUCUCCUGUACAGUGGUCAGAGUUCAGAGUUGCCAAUUUGUAGUUGCUUCUCUACUUCUUUAAAAUAGAGAGCAGGAAUCCCAGCUCAUUCUAAAGAAAAGGAACUGGGUUUAGAAAAAAAGUAAGCUUUAGAAAGAAAAGGGGCUUUUAAUCCCUAGAUUCCUCGGGGAGUAUCCAUCCUGCCUCCUUUCUAAGAAAUCUGUGGAUAUUAACAAGGGAGAAGAGUUUGAAAGCGGGGCAUUUCUUUGCAGAAGUGCAGGUUUUCUUUCCAGCUAAAUGACAGUGUCCGAUAUAUUCUGCAUCUCAUGAGCUGAGACUUCCUAUGUGGUGGGGAGGACCUGUGAAGACAUUUGGUCUACUAAUGAGGCAAAGUGCUUUACACUGUUGUGAUCUCCCAAAAUUUUUGCUAAUGGUUUGUCAUCUCUGUUGGAGGGAAUAGAAUAAUGACCCUUUUCUGCACUUUGAUGUCAGCCUCUGGGUUUGUAAACCCCAAUAGUGCAAACAAAGCUAGCAUCAUCUGAAGACGCUGUACUUACUUGGACUCUCCUUCUUUUCCAUACUGGGAACAACCAAUAUGGCUUUGGGAAGAGAAGGCACCUUGCUUCAGAUUUUCCCCUGCUUUGUACCUUGCAAUCAUUGCCAGAUAUGGAAGAGUGACCGUUGGGCUGGCAGAAGAAACUGGAUUUGCUCCUGUUUUGCCCAUGUUGGAAUGACUGCAAGCAGUAAGGAAGCCAGAAACUAGGUACUCCUGGCCCUUCCGUUCAGGCCAUUAGUCCAAACUGCUUUUAGCUCUUGUGAGUUUCAGCAUCACAAUGUGCUGGCCAAAAACUCUAAAAUCAGUGUGAUAGCAUUGUGACAAACAAAAUGUGCUGUACAACUCAAUACAGUCAAAAUAAAAUCUCUAUAUUAGU